rnacentral:rRNA from 1 species
CGAAAGCCUGACGGAGCAACGCCGCGUGAGGGAUGAAGGCCUCUGGGCUGUAAACCUCCUUUCUCAAGGAAGAAGAUCUGACGGUACUUGAGGAAUAAGCCACGGCUAAUUCCGUGCCAGCAGCCGCGGUAAUACGGGAGUGGCAAGCGUUAUCCGGAAUCAUUGGGCGUAAAGCGUCCGCAGGCGGCCUUGAGAGUCUGUCGUUAAAGCGUGGAGCUUAACUCCAUUUCAGCGAUGGAAACUACAAGGCUUGAGUGUGGUAGGGGCAGAGGGAAUUCCCGGUGUAGCGGUGAAAUGCGUAGAUAUCGGGAAGAACACCAGUGGCGAAGGCGCACUGCUGGGCCAUAACUGACGCUCAUGGACGAAAGUCAGGGGAGCG